rnacentral:rRNA from 1 species
GACGAACGCUGGCGGCGUGCCUAAUACAUGCAAGUCGAACGGAAAGGCCCUGCUUUUGCGUGGCGCACGAGUGGCGAACGGGUGAGUAACACGCGUGUAACCCCCCCCUGACUUUGGGAUAUCUUCAGGAAACAGGGGCUAAUACCGGAUAGGAGCUCCUGCAGCACGGUGGGGGAUGGUAAGUUUCGGUGGUUGGGGGUGGACUCGCGGGAUAACAGCUUGUUGGUGGGGUAGUGGAUUACCAAGGUUUGGACGGGUACCAGGCCUGAGAGGGUGACCGGCCACAUUGGGACUGAGGGGCGGCCCAAACUCCUACGGGAGGCAGCAGGGGGAAAUAUUGCAGAAUGGGCGGAGGCCUGAUGCAGCAACGCCGCGUGCGGGAAGACGGCCUUCGGGGUGUAGACCACUUUCGCCUGUGACGGAGCGUGAGUGGCGGUAAUGGGUAAAGAAGGACCGGCUAACUACGUG